CUAUGUCGGCGACCGGCGCACGGGGUGCGUAACGCGUAUGCAACCUACCCAUUACAGGGGGAUAACACUGAGAAAUCGGUACUAAUACCCCAUAACAUCCAGGGAGGCAUCUUCUUGGGUUGAAAACUCCGGUGGUAAUGGAUGGGCAUGCGUUGUAUUAGUUAGUUGGUGGGGUAACGGCUCACCAAGACAACGAUACAUAGGGGGACUGAGAGGUUAACCCCCCACAUUGGUACUGAGACACGGACCAAACUCCUACGGAAGGCAGCAG
rnacentral:rRNA from 1 species